AUUGAACGCUGGCGGCAGGCCUAACACAUGCAAGUCGAGCGAGCGGCGGACGGGUGGGUAAUGUAUGGGGCCUGCCCGCUGGAGUGGGAUAACUACUGGAAACGGUGGCUAAUACCGCCAAAGGUCGGAUAACCCAGAUGGGAGUGGCUAGUAGGUAAGGUAAUGGCUUACUUGGGCGACGAUCCAUAGCCGGUCUGGGAGGAUGAUCAGCCACACUGGUACUGGGACACGGCCCAGGCUCCUACGGAGGGAGCAGUGGGCAAUAUUGCACAAUGGUCGCAAGCCUGAUGCAGCCAUGCCGCGUGUAUGAAGAAGGCCCUAGGGUUGUAAAGUACGUUCAGUCGGUAGGCGUUACCGACAGAAGAAGCACCGGCUAACUCCGUGCCAGCAGCCGCGGUAAUUC
rnacentral:rRNA from 1 species